GAAGAGGGCAGAUGGGGGUCAGUGGAUGCCAAGGGAGAGCAUUCAGGUGUUUAUCAGGGGUACACAGCACCACUGGAAAGAGACUGGCAUUGGCGGUCUUGUGUAGAGGAGGUUUGGGGUCACCAUGUUGGUGUUGAUGGCAAGUGACUAGAGCUUGUGUUAAGGACCAGUGUCUCUUCCAAGCAGAAAAGGGGGAAGUGUGGACCAAGGCGAUGUCAGACUCAGGUGGUACACAAAGGGCGCUGUAUAAGCAAACCAAACCUCUGGGAGGUGACUUUCGGAAUGGCGGAUGAAGACGACAGAUUUAUCAUGGGCCAGGACUUGGAAGGAACGGAUGGGACCGCAAGUGCAGAGUACUCUCAGCCUUCCUGAGGUGGCCUCCAGAGAGGGAGCUGGUCCAGGAGUCCUUCUCUGCAGGGGAGAAUGGCAAGAGGUGCUCUUGCCUUGGGGGCUGGAAGAGGUGUAGAGAGACGUAGAGAGACGUGCCCAACAGGCGCAGCCUGAAGACCACAAGCGUCUAGCUUUUUCCACUCUUUGAGAACUUGCUAUUCAAAUCUGUCUUCUUUAUAUUUGGGGAAGGAAUCCAACAGAUCUGUAGAUACAAUCUCACCCAGGGGCUAGGAUCUUUGGGUUCUAAUUCUUGCUUGGCCACUCGCUAACUCUGUUACAGGAAAUACUUCCCUUAGCCUCUCUGGACCUCAGGUUUCUCAUUGAUCAGAGGAGGUGGGGAUGCUGAUGAGAUAUGGUCUUUAGAUGCUGCACACAAACAUGUCCCAAAAUCACAGCAAGAUUUAGACCAACUUGAGCUCGCCAGUGCUCUCUCCCCCUCAUCCAUGCUCCUUAUCCAUCAUCUGGAAAAUUUGCUGGGAAUCCCAACAGAGAGAGCUGACUCCGUGCCUUCUCUUUAAAAUAGAAUGAAGAAAAUAGCCUAAGAGCUGGGAGAGGGCAGAGUAACAGGAAGCUAGCACUGGGAAGGGCUUGCCAUGGGGGCGGUGAGGGGUGGAGGGAAGGACAGUUAGAAAAGGCAAAGAGAACUCAGUCUGGGAGAGGCAGCCUUGAGAGAGAAGGCAUAAGAAACCCCAGAGAGACUGCAAGGGACUGCAGAGGAGAGCUGAGCCUGGGUGAAAGGAGCUGACAGACCUGUCAGCUCAGUUAAGGAGCCUCAUGCUCUGUGGUGUCUGCCGGGGUUCCAUCUCCCAAGGAGAAGAGCUCUGAGUGAAGAGGCUUGCAGCUCUGCAUCCCCCACCCAGCGCAUACGCGCAGGCUUUCUCUGAGGAUGCAGCUCAUUACUGGCUAUUAUUUUCUUUUCUUCACCUGGAGAAAUCCUGGGACUCUUGACAGCAGCAGGGAGAGGACUAUGUGCUUUGGUCCUCUGUGAUUCAGAGUCCAUCUGGAAUCUCUUCAUGGCCGCUGCCUCGCUGGCACGGGCUUUGGACUGAAGCAAGCUUAGGACAAGUUUGGGUUCUAGAGAGCGGCAAGCAGAGUAUCUGUUCGGACAUCCCUUGCUGAUUUUUAGAUGUGACUGCCAGACUCCUGCUGGUCUCAGGUCCAGAGCCCUGGCCGCACCCCCCCCCCCUUCCUCAACCAACGUCUUACCAGUCUUCCUCAACCAACGUCAACUCCCAGGGCUGACACCUUGGAACAUGGCCUCUCUCAAGCCUCAAGCCCCAAGCUGAGCUCCUGUCCCUACCUCAGGCAGGAUCUCACGGAUGCUUCUAAUGAAGUUCUCUCCGACUCUGUCUGAGCACCCACCACGCGAGGAAGGAGCUGCGGCCGACGGCCCUCAGCCCCGGCUGCUGACAGCAGCGAUCCAUCUCCAUCACCGUAAUGGCGUCCCCAUUAAUCGGCCAUAAACUAAUAAAGCAAGCACUUUCC
rnacentral:lncRNA from 1 species